GCCCACACAAAACAAUCCUUUAAAUAAAUAUAUAAUACAAACAACUAAAUAUAUAAAAUACUAGUAAAGUACAGAAAUGGAAGCAAUAAUAAAUAAUAGUAAUUUUUAACAACUAUACCUCGUGCAUUAUGGUUUUACAAGAAAUAAAUUAAACACCUAAAUCCCGAAUUCUAAAUGAGAUGUCAAACUGCUGUUAAGAACCCAUUAGUAACUGUGGAAAAAGCUUUAAAAGACAGUUUAACAGAGGCUACAUACCAUCCGCAUAAGAAUAUAGCUGGUUUUCAACAAACAUUAUACAUUAAAACAUAUAAUAAAUAUUAUAAUGUUAUAUUAUUGAGGACAAGCCCAAUAACCUAAACAAUAAGACAACAAAUCUAUUUCACUUCAUAGGCUUAAUAUCAGCCAACUAAAAUACUUUACCGUAACAGAAAUUGACAUAAUAUAUAAAUCUACAUGUAAAGAAAAGUUGAAAUGGUAGAUAAACUUCCUUAUCCACCUCUACUAUGUAAAAAUAAGUAUUAAUAACCGUAAAUAUUAAACAACUAGAACUAACAACAGAUUAUACCUAAUAACUAAUUAAGGAACUCGGCAAACCACUAUUUCGACUGUUUAACAAAAACAUUGUCUCAUGAAUAAUAUAUGAGAUAAUACCUGCCCAGUGACAUGACAUGUUCAACGGCCGCGGUAUCCUAACCGUGCAAAGGUAGCAUAAUCACUUGCCUAUUAAUUGUAGGCUAGAAUGAAAGGGUUAACGAAAUAAAGACUGUCUCAAUUAGCAAACUAAAAAUUAUUCUCUACCUGAAGAAAAGUAGAUAGCCUCGAAGGACAAGAAGACCCUAUAGAGCUUAAUUUUACUUAUAGGCCUGUACUAUAAAAAUAUUCGGUUGGGGCGACCCAGGGCAAAACAAUCACCCGCACCAUAAAAGAUAUAUUAAUCAAGAAAUUGACCCUUUAAAGAUCAUAAGAACAAGCUACCUUAGGGAUAACAGGCUAAUCCCACUCAAGAGUCCUUAUCAACAGUGGGGUUUGGCACCUCGAUGUUGGCUUAGGGUAUCUAUACAGCGCAAAAGUUAUAUAAAGAUGGUUUGUUCAACCAAUAACACCCCUACAUGAGCUGAGUUCAGACCGGCGUAAGCCAGGUUAGCUUCUAUCCUCGACUACCAUAUUUGCCCCUAGUACGAAAGGACCUGGGUAAAAUAAUCACUUAUACAAAAGAAUACAUGUAACAAAUAAUAAAACAAAUACCUAUAUAAACUAUA
rnacentral:rRNA from 1 species